rnacentral:rRNA from 1 species
ACGUAGGGUGCGAGCGUUAAUCGGAAUUACUGGGCGUAAAGCGUGCGCAGGCGGCUUCGUAAGACAGAUGUGAAAUCCCCGGGCUUAACCUGGGAACUGCGUUUGUGACUGCGAGACUUGAGUGCGGCAGAGGGGGGUGGAAUUCCACGUGUAGCAGUGAAAUGCGUAGAGAUCCGGAGGAACACCAGAGGCGAAGGCGACACCCUGGGCCGUACCUGACGCUAAGACGCGACAGCACGGGGAGCGAACGG